UGAAGGAAUAUGGGUGAUUGAGUUUACCAGCUUUCCAAGUGGUUCUCAUUUCUUUUUCCUUCCUGAGAUAGUUAAAUGCACAUUACUCAACUGUGUAAAAACAAAUGGCCAACUCUCCCACUUUGGGUGGAUUUCAAAUGAAAGUGGGCUUAAUUAAAGCUUUAGGAAGCUUAAGAGUUAAUAAGUGCCCAUUAAAGAGUAACCACCAACCAUUUACUGUCUGUUUGCUAGCAAUAAGGAGCUGGGGUGCUUGCAGGCACGCUGGCGUGUGGGAUGGAGGGAUGCAUUAGCAGGGACCAUCCUAGUGCUGGAGGGAAGGGAGAAUCAUCCUAAUGCUGGAGAGAAGGGGUGUGUGGCACAGUGCCUGGCCUGGGAGGGUAGACACAAGCUGAGGGGAAGAAGGAACAGACAUUUGACCUCUUAGAAGGCUGGACAAAUGUCUUGAGCUUGGAAACACCAUGAGGAAAACUUGCCUCAGUUUCCCUGCCUGCAAGGUGCUGCCACACUGUGGUGCUGUGGAGUUUUCAUCAGCAAAACAAUGGAGAUCUCCAAGGGAAAGGUGUUAUGUAAAUUCAGGGUAAGUCCCACAUUUCCAGCUUCCAGCACUCCAACUGUCCUACAUGUAGGAGUAUUUGUGUGCAGGACCUUAUAUUGGCUCUGCAGAAAACAGUCCCAACUGUGAAGUAUGCUUCCAAACCAUGAUACAAAUGGCUCAGACUAGGUGGCAGGAAUUGGGGAGUAGCGCUUUUGUUUAUUUGUUUCUUCCAGGGCUUUGUUUUUCACAGCAGAUAGGCCUGCAGGUAUGAGGUCUAAUACUUAUCCUGCUGAGGACCAUCCAUCAGACACAGCGUUGCUGGCUCCCCUGGGCCAUGCAUUGCCACCACAGGGACAUGACAGCUCUCUGCUUAGGCUUUCCUUAGAGAAAUUUAUAAACUGGGGAAGAGUCCUGGCAGGAAUUACAACUGAUAGCUACUUGGAGCUUCCGUUCAGUUUGCAAAAAGUAGAAAGUACCAAUGAACAAGAUAUUUUCCCAUUUAUCCUCUUUGUUUUUUAAUUUUCUUCUUUUCCUCUCCAUAGAAGCUCAGACUGAUCCACACUAAAAUGCUGAUGUGGCUAUUUGCAAUCUGGCUCGGAGCAAGUGCCCUUCUUCCAGUGCUUCCUAAUGCAGUGGAACAACACCAUCACUAAGAAAAGAUCACUCCAACAGCCUCCACCAGGGAAUUCAGAAACGAUCAUUAGACCAUCAAGUUCCCACUUGCGAUGUGACAAGCAGAACAUCUCUGUGUUAGGUCAGUUUUGAACUGAAGCCCAGAAAAAAUAGAAAAUGGAGUGCAAAUAUGUCCUCAGCUCUAGAUCUCCUGGACUUCAGGAAAUCUACAUAAACAUAGAGUCCCACUCAGCUUAAAAGCUCACAGCAGUGAAAUAUUACUAAUAAAACAUCAUCAAUAAACUUUCACAUACAGUAAUUGGAAUGCAAAAGGUAUUUAAUCUUCAAGCAUAUCAUAUAUCAUGGCUGAAGCCUGGAAAACUCUAAGAGCGUUUAUAUCCCUUCGCAUUUUCUGGGUUUAGGUUCCAUGCAAGACAAAGGAAGCAUCUGUAUGGAAAGUAUCAAUUCUGUGGCAAGGGUUAGGGAUUAAACUGCUGCUCUCUAAGUAUGUAUGUGUGUCUAAGAUGUAUACAUUUUUUCUGAAAGGAAGCCAGUCAAUCAGACAUUGAUUUUCCUGCAAAAAGUAUGAUUCAUUGAUGCACAGUUGUUGUUAUUUAAGAAGCUCUAUUAGUUCUUCUCAUACAUGGAUUUUUGCAUCUAAAAUAUAUGCUUUGGUAGCGAGUUUGUGCCUCUGUUUUGCAGAAGAGGGAAAUCUUUACCUAGAAAUCUUAAUCUCCACUGAAUACUACCUUUCAGCUAAUGAGAUUGCUGUCACCUAAAUUUUCAUUGUUUUAAAAGCAAGUGGCUGCCGACAGUUUCCUUUCAAGCUUGAAUGAUGAAAGGAAAACACCACGCUGCCUCAUCUGGCUAGCUUGCUGAGAGCUAAUGAGCCUGAGGCUGCACCCAUCUUUGCUAUACUAGUGUGACCUUAUGUCUGCUAAUGCACAGGGAAGGAGUGAAAAAUGUACUGUGAGUUCCCUCCAACAGUUCCCUGGGGACAUUCUGAAUGUGCCAAGCAAUUUAGUAAAUAUAUAUCAAGUUACUGUAUUGAAACAUACUUCAAUGUAUUGCGACCCUGGGUAUCUCAAUCUAAAGAUCAUAUUUUAUUUUUUGCUCAUCUUCCC
ensembl:lncRNA